GUACUCGGCACUUGGCAGUAUUUCCCAGAUGCCCUCAGGAGAGCCAAGAACACUGUGCUCAUCGGGGAACUGAACGGGAUGAUUUCAAACAAAGGUUUCCGUAUUCAAAUCGCUGAGCUCACAGACGAGGAUCCCCAUGUACAUUUGGUACAAUGCUGAGGACAGAACCCAAGCCUAAAGCCUGCUAAGCAAGCAUUCUGUGAACUGAACCACAAGCUCGCUACCCACCAAGCCACGAGUACUCUUCUGAGUCACAAGCUAUCUACCAACCAAGGCACAAGUGCUCUACUUGGGAGCUACGGGCAUUCUACCAACUGAGCCACGUCAGCAGCCCCCAUUGCUUAAACGCAAAAGACCCACAGAUUCAAUCUCCCCUACCUCCUGUCAUACAUCUGUCACUAUCUUCCUUGAGUGGAUGUUCUUGGUCUUUUGUGACAAGAGUCCUUCCCACAUCUCCUGCCUUAUCCCCAGCCCUGACGACAACAGGCUAACCUUGGCACUACUGACAGCCUGUUGUU